GUAUAAACAGAGAAAUGGCUGUCUAGUACAAGUAUGAUUUUUUAUUCAAUUUUGCUGGCACAAUAGCAGCUGUAUAGAUAAAGUUAUGAACAGAUAAAUAGCAGUGUAGUACAAGCAUGAUUUUUCUAUUAAAUGAUACUGGUACAAUUGCAGCUGUAUAGAUAAAUUUUGUUGUACUUUAUACCUAAUAAAGAUAAAAGGGAGCUAUUGCUGGUGUGAUUGAUUGCACACUGAGCCAUUUUGACUAGAAAUGA